UUAUCUUAUGCUAAUCUAACAGCGUUAUGAUACUUUCUGGUGUGCUUUUGUGGUGGAAAAUCCCAGUUUCUUCUCAUGGAUCGUGGGAUUGUCCCUGAUGGUGGUAUGGAAAUGACUAGAUCACAGCCCGAACUAUAUACAAGGGCUCUAACACAGGAGCUCAGCAGGCAUGCCGCUGUUAUUCUUCGAGGAACUCACAUAGUUGCCAGACAUUGUUGUCUGGGCAUUCCUAGGCUUGGAAAGGGAUCCUCGAACCCGUAGGGCGUCUGCUGAGUCUUCCUACAAAUUAAGUUCUUAUGCUUACGUUUUCUAUCCUUUUAUUAGUAGCUAUAUUGAUCUUUGUUGAUCUCCUAUGGUUGAUUUUUUCGGCAUACUAUGCUGGACUGUCAAUGCUCACUAUGGUUUGAUUUUCAUCCGUUGAAUUAUUGAACUACAAGUUUGUCAUCUUCGAUGAAUUGAUAGCCACAUUGGCCAAGGCUUAUUGAAUAUGGUGAUUCAGUAAUUCUGUAGCCUAUACAGGGACAUGACAUAGAGAGAGAUCUACUUUCAUUCAUUUCUUGGCAUGUGCUCACGAGAGGCUAGGUCUUUAGACUACCAGCUACUAUACUGAUGGAGCAAACUUGACUUGCAUUGUUCUAGCUUAAGCCAUGCUGCAUAUUUGUUACUACAUUUGCGAUUCAAUAUUCAGUCAAGGAUUGUGGGACUUCUUCAUUUUCUCUUUUGCACUUGAAUUCUUCCAUUGUUUUGGGCCAAUACUUUUGCCUUCACUUCGAAGGUUUCCAGCUUGGCAUGACCCCCGUG